GCUGUCGGCGUGCUUAACACAUGCAAGUCGAACGGAAAGGCCCUGCUUUUGUGGGGUGCUCGAGUGGCGAACGGGUGAGUAACACGUGAGUAACCUGCCCUUGACUUUGGGAUAACUUCAGGAAACUGGGGCUAAUACCGGAUAGGAGCUCCUGCUGCAUGGUGGGGGUUGGAAAGUUUCGGCGGUUGGGGAUGGACUCGCGGCUUAUCAGCUUGUUGGUGGGGUAGUGGCUUACCAAGGCUUUGACGGGUAGCCGGCCUGAGAGGGUGACCGGCCACAUUGGGACUGAGAUACGGCCCAGACUCCUACGGGAGGCAGCAGUGGGGAAUAUUGCACAAUGGGCGGAAGCCUGAUGCAGCAACGCCGCGUGCGGGAUGACGGCCUUCGGGUUGUAAACCGCUUUCGCCUGUGACGAAGCGUGAGUGACGGUAAUGGGUAAAGAAGCACCGGCUAACUACGUGCCAGCAGCCGCGGUGAUACGUAGGGUGCGAGCGUUGUCCGGAUUUAUUGGGCGUAAAGGGCUCGUAGGUGGUUGAUCGCGUCGGAAGUGUAAUCUUGGGGCUUAACCCUGAGCGUGCUUUCGAUACGGGUUGACUUGAGGAAGGUAGGGGAGAAUGGAAUUCCUGGUGGAGCGGUGGAAUGCGCAGAUAUCAGGAGGAACACCAGUGGCGAAGGCGGUUCUCUGGGCCUUUCCUGACGCUGAGGAGCGAAAGCGUGGGGAGCGAACAGGCUUAGAUACCCUGGUAGUCCACGCUGUAAACGGUGGGUACUAGGUGUGGGGUCCAUUCCACGGGUUCCGUGCCGUAGCUAACGCUUUAAGUACCCCGCCUGGGGAGUACGGCCGCAAGGCUAAAACUCAAAGGAAUUGACGGGGCCCCGCACAAGCGGCGGAGCAUGCGGAUUAAUUCGAUGCAACGCGUAGAACCUUACCUGGGUUUGACAUGGAUCGGGAGUGCUCAGAGAUGGGUGUGCCUCUUUUGGGGUCGGUUCACAGGUGGUGCAUGGCUGUCGUCAGCUCGUGUCGUGAGAUGUUGGGUUAAGUCCCGCAACGAGCGCAACCCUUGUUCACUGUUGCCAGCACGUUAUGGUGGGGACUCAGUGGAGACCGCCGGGGUCAACUCGGAGGAAGGUGGGGAUGACGUCAAGUCAUCAUGCCCCUUAUGUCCAGGGCUUCACGCAUGCUACAAUGGCUGGUACAGAGAGUGGCGAGCCUGUGAGGGUGAGCGAAUCUCGGAAAGCCGGUCUCAGUUCGGAUUGGGGUCUGCAACUCGACCUCAUGAAGUCGGAGUCGCUAGUAAUCGCAGAUCAGCAACGCUGCGGUGAAUACGUUCCCGGGGCUUGUACACACCGCCCGUCAAGUCAUGAAAGUUGGUAACACCCGAAGCCGGUGGCCUAACCGUUGUGGGGGAGCCGUCGAAGGUGGGACUGGUGAUUAGGACUAA
rnacentral:rRNA from 1 species